rnacentral:snRNA from 1 species
GAUUGUAGGGCAAUCUGGUUGCAACAUCUGUCACCCCAUUGAUAGCCAGGGUGGAUUCCACUCAUCUGGAAGGUGGGUGUCCCCUUCUUCUUUUGCCACUCCACAUGUGUCCCUCCUGAAGCUGUGUGCUCAGUUGAAGAGGAGGACCUUGCCCAAACAGAGGAGUACUAUAUCUGCUUUUUAUGUUGAUGCCUUGAUAUGCUAGACAGUAUGUCAGUAGCUUCCCAUAUGCUAGGUAGUUUUAUGUCAGCUUGAAACAGACAAGAGUCAUCUAAAAAGAGGGAAAUUCAUUUGAGAAAAGGCUUUGAUAGGUUCAGACUUUAGGACUUUUUCU